GACAUUAGUGAGAUUGCAAAGGAAAAGAAGUGGAAGAUAUGAUAGCUGAAACGGGAAUGGUGAUGGUAGGUGUUUUGGGAUUAUGGGCACGCUUUGUCCGAAAACCGCUCCUUCAAUUCACCGGAGAAAUGAUGCAAGUAAUCUCCGAAGUCGUGUCGAGGAUGUGUCAACCAGAUACAACAUCUUAUGCUACUCUUUCUUCAACUGCUAAUUAAUAACCCUCCUCCCAAUAUCGUCGGAAGGUGAUAACAUAUUUAAAUUUAGAGUUACAUAUAACUUUUUUUAACCUUGUUAUUUGUAGGUUCUCGAUUCUAUAAUAUAUACGUUUUUCGUUUUCUUUUGAAUGUUAAAAUUAUGGAUCAACAAAAGAAAAGUUAUAUACCUGGUUUUGUGUUCCUCUCUCGACAUAUGAUAUAUAUGUUUACAUGAAAGCUUAACCGCAAUAGAGUACUAGUGAGGCAUCAUAGAGGCUUAGUAGAUCUAUUUUAGGCGAAGCUGCACGACAUCAGUA
rnacentral:lncRNA from 1 species